rnacentral:tRNA from 1 species
CUAAUUCAUAAAUAAGAAGGAUA